rnacentral:rRNA from 1 species
UAGGGAAUCUUCCACAAUGGACGCAAGUCUGAUGGAGCAACGCCGCGUGAGUGAAGAAGGUUUUCGGAUCGUAAAGCUCUGUUGUAAGAGAAGAACGUGUGUGAGAGUGGAAAGUUCACACAGUGACGGUAACUUACCAGAAAGGGACGGCUAACUACGUGGCAG